UGCAGGCGGUUUGUUAAGUCAGAUGUGAAAGCCCGGGGCUCAACCUCGGAACCGCAUUUGAAACUGGCAGGCUAGAGUCUUGUAGAGGGGGGUAGAAUUUCAGGUGUAGCGGUGAAAUGCGUAGAGAUCUGAAGGAAUACCAGUGGCGAAGGCGGCCCCCUGGACAAAGACUGACGCUCAGAUGCGAAAGCGUGGGUAGCAAACAGGAUUAGAUACCCUGGUAGUCCACGCCGUAAACGCUGUCUACUUGGAGGUUGAGGUUUAGACUUUGGCUUUCGGCGCUAACGCAUUAAGUAGACCGCCUGGGGAGUACGGCCGCAAGGUUAAAACUCAAAUGAAUUGACGGGGGCCCGCACAAGCGGUGGAGCAUGUGGUUUAAUUCGAUGCAACGCGAAGAACCUUACCUACUCUUGACAUCCAGAGAACUUUCCAGAGAUGGAUUGGUGCCUUCGGGAACUCUGAGACAGGUGCUGCAUGGCUGUCGUCAGCUCGUGUUGUGAAAUGUUGGGUUAAGUCCCGCAACGAGCGCAACCCUUAUCCUUGUUUGCCAGCACAUAAUGGUGGGAACUCCAGGGAGACUGCCGGUGAUAAACCGGAGGAAGGUGGGGACGACGUCAAGUCAUCAUGGCCCUUACGAGUAGGGCUACACACGUGCUACAAUGGCAGAUACAGAGGGCAGCGAGACAGCGAUGUUUAGCGAAUCCCUUAAAGUUUGUCGUAGUCCGGAUUGGAGUCUGCAACUCGACUCCAUGAAGUCGGAAUCGCUAGUAAUCGUG
rnacentral:rRNA from 1 species